rnacentral:lncRNA from 1 species
AUGCGGAGCCCUGGGUCCUCUGGUUUCUGUCACUCCCUGUCGCUGUGUCUCCUAGGCUGUGUCUCUCACUGCCUCAGUCUCUCCCGGCGGUAUUUCUGCGCGCACCCCCCACCUGUUUUUGUUUUUUGUUUUUUUUUCCCCCUCCACCUGUUUUACCGCGUUGCUAUGGAUCGAAAAAGACGCAGGCGCACGGGAGGCGAGAUGCUGAGCAAGGCUAGCUCUGCCUCUGAUUGGCUGUCCUUUCAGCCGUUGCGUCUUCGCUCCGCCCCAACCCUGGGGGAUGGCCAAUUGCCUUCUGGGGGUCGUAGUCCGACGCGCAGGCCCAGCGCGCACGCGCAGUCUGAGCUGACGCCAUCGCUCCGAGCUCCUGGCGGCUGGAACCGGCCUGGGACCGCUACGCAAGAGUCUAAAGGCACCUUUCGCCCCUUUGUAAUGGGUGAGUAACUAUUGGGUGAUGCCAGGAGACCCUGUGAAUGUCCUGAGUAACAUGAGGUGGGACUGUGGGGAGAGGAGAAGGGGGGCACGGCAGGGCCUGGAGGUAGAGCUGAAGAGUUGGGAGCUAAGCGUGAGCCCUGCUUAGCCCAGUGGGAAAGGGAUUUGCCUGCAGGAGGCCCACAGUGCUUGGAGACCUCUCAGCUCAGCUGCCCACACCACCCCCCCACCUUGGCUUCCUCUGCAUCCCAGGACCAGGAGGGCCAGGCUCAUAGGAUCAACCUCAGACAUGUCCAUGGGGUGCAGGGGGAGUCUGGGCUCCAAGAAAUUUCCAUCCCCAUCUGAGGCAAAUCCUGAGUGGCCCUGAGAUGUGUAUGUGAUGGGGGGAAGUCUGCUUGGUGAGUGAGCCAAGAGGAACUUGGGCCAUGGGGAAUGGCCUCGCUCAAGGAAUCUGGAGACAGGAAGGAGUUCUGGUGGUCCCUCUGCCUAACAAGGUCAUCCUUGCAGCAGCAUGACCAGGUUGUGAGGCUCUGAUGAGAGAAGAUAAGAUCCAUGCAUGCACACAUUAGUGAGUUAUCUUCGGUUAACUUUGUGGAGACAGGCCCCGGACAGGAUGAUCGUGCCUGUGGUAUCUUAAGAAAACCAAAAUUACUUGCUUAUGUGACCACACAUCUGCCCAUAUUACCACACAAAGCCCCACGUAUCCUGUGCCUGUUGGGAUAAAUGUGGUCGUGCCAGCUGGCUGGAGCUGGCACACUUCUCUUGCCAGGUGAGGCUCUAGAUUAAAGGCAGAAACAUGGUUAAAAGAGCUAGAGUCUGGAACUGGGAUUGGGAAACUCUGGCCUACAGGCCAACCAGCAGCCCGUUUUUGUAAUGAAGUUGUUUGGGGACACAGGCAGGCCCAUGGCAUGCGGGUGCUCUGGCUGUUUCAGCCCCAAGGUGAAGUUGAGUUGUCUCAACCGAAACCACCUGUCCUGCAUUUGCCAACCCUGGCCCCUAGCAGAAUUAAUGCAAGAGUGCAUUAAAAAAAAAAAAAAAAAAAAAAAAAUUAAGUUUAUUUAUUUUGAGAGAGAGAGAGUGUGCUCAAGCAGGGAAGGAGCAGAGAGUCCUAAGCAGGCUCCACGCUGUCAGCACAGAUCCCGAUACAGGGUUCACCCUGGGGCUGGAACUCAUGAACCAUGAGAUCAUGACUUGGGUCAAAACCAAGAGUCAGAUGCUUAACUGACUGAGCCCCACCGGUGCCCUGAGUGCAUUUCUAAUCUUGAGUGCAUUUCUAAUUAAAAAUUCGAAGGAAGCUCUUUAUAAACAAGUUUCUGAACUCCACAUCUUUCUUAGGAAGAAAAAAAGCACAUUUGACAAUAAGAAACAUUAGAACUUUAUGGUAUAGCAAAAAGAGAGCAUGAAGUGAAAAGAUAAGUCACAGACUGGGCUGCUGGCAAGACCAGGCCAGACAGACACCACUUUAAUUAUUUAAUAGAAGGGAGCUGGAAGAAAAUGGCUACUGAAGGAGUGCCUUGGUGGCUCAGUCGGUUGGUUGUCUGACUUCGGCUCAGGUUGUGAUCUCAUGGUUUGUGAGUUUGAGCUCUGCGUCAGACUCUGUGCUGACAGCUCAGAGCCUGGAGCCUGUUUCAGAUUCUGUGUCUCCCUUUCUCUCUGCCCCUUCCUUGCUCGCGCUGUCUCUCUCUCUUCCCCUCUCCCUCUCUCAAAAAUAAAUAAAUAUUAAAUUUUUUUUUUAAAAAUGGC